rnacentral:rRNA from 1 species
CAGCCGCCGCGGUAAUACGAAGGGGGCUAGCGUUGUUCGGAAUUACUGGGCGUAAAGCGCACGUAGGCGGAUCGAUCAGUCAGGGGUGAAAUCCCAGGGCUCAACCCUGGAACUGCCUUUGAUACUGUCGAUCUGGAGUAUGGAAGAGGUGAGUGGAAUUCCGAGUGUAGAGGUGAAAUUCGUAGAUAUUCGGAGGAACACCAGUGGCGAAGGCGGCUCACUGGUCCAUUACUGACACUGAGGCGCGAAAGCGUGGGAGCAAACAGGAUUAGAUACCCCCGUAGUCCCUGUCUCUUAUACA